UCUAACACAAGCAAUUAUUAACAAUCAAGCAUUAUCUCGGAAAACUAACUUCGGAUUCGGAAUCUACACGAAAAACUGUGAAAAUUAGGUUCCGGGUGAAUAAACCAUCAAAAGUCAACAUCCAGUCAACGGUCAACGCAAUCUGGUCAACAGUAAAAGGGUCAACAGUCAAACUGUCAAACAACCAGUUGCGUCGCUCAUAGCGUCGACUAAUAUUCGACGCAAAGACCUGUAUUUGCAGAUCUUCAUAAAAACGAGUUUUGAACCAAAAGUGCUUAUUUUCAUCAAAAUCACUUAUUUGAACUUAGGAAAAGCACAUACAUAUAAUACCCAACAUAUAAACAACUUAAACAUAAGUUAAAAACACAAAAUCAUCAAGAUUAAUUACUUAUCUCCAAGUUAUUAGAUUUUAUCAUAAAUCCUCAAAAUCCACUAUUUUUACAAAGCUUAAGCAAUCAAUCAAAAGCAAUAACAUCAUAUAUGCAUUAACAAGGAAUAUAAACACAUUCCCAAUUUCCAAUUCCCACAACCCUAAGAGAUGAAAGAGUUUGGGUAUGAAGGAGAAAAGUUCUCCUCCCCUCUUUAUAAAUCAUCUCUAAAAAUGAAUAAAUUACUACUCUCAUACCUUGUCAAAGUUGAAACCUUUAGUCCUUCUUCUUCAAUUCCUCAAGUUCUUCCUCUUCUCUCANN
rnacentral:lncRNA from 1 species